AAUCAAUCAAAGACACGAAGGGAAAACAGGGCACUUGAGAUUCGAUUUUUUUUUCUUUCCAAAAUCGAUAAAUAAACCACUAAAAUCCAUCUUAAUAAUCACAAGAACUUGAUGAAGGGCUUCCUCAAGGAAUUUUUUACCUGAUUCCGAUGAUGCUCAGCCCAAAAUUCUUUGAACAUGGUGAUGACCAUCCAAAAUAAGAGAGAUGAAUAGAGGGAGGAAGACGGCG
rnacentral:lncRNA from 1 species